CUCGUAUUAAAACUCCCCUUCCGGAACCAGGACCAACCCCCAUUAGAUCUGAAUAUCCUGAUUUGGCGCCACUUCAAACUUCCGGUCAAGCUUCUUCUAGCUUGGCUCGGAGUAUACUAUUCACUAACUUUUCCCAAAAUCAAGUUCCCACAUCCUCAUGCCCUAUUACCUCUCGGCCGGAACCUUUAACUGACGCCCCUCCACGUAGCCCCAUACUAACCCGACAACUGACCGGUACCCAACAAUUAAAACAUUAUCAGAUGCCUCUUCGUCUGAAUCCUGGGUCAG
rnacentral:lncRNA from 1 species